UAACAGCCGCCGGUAUGAACGGGUAUUAUUGAUGUUGAUAAAAAUUUAAGGAAUCUUCCUUUUGCUGUUAU
rnacentral:tRNA from 1 species